GGCCCAUUGUAGCAAGUGCACAGUCGACUCUUCCCUUUUAAAAUUACUCAAGUGCAUUUUCUUCUAAUUUUUGGGUCAGAGCAUGGAGAUGGUGAGUUUCUUACGACUGCGGGUGAUCAGUGCAUGUAUUGUUGAGAUCACCCAGUGGCACUCGAAAACAACAUCAAAUCAACAAGUGGAAGCAGUCGCUGAAACAUCAAGCGGGAAAAGAUGAAGCUGAUGGCGCAAUUAGAACGUUUUAUUUGUAGUAUUCAUCGCAUGAGGGAUGCACACACCGUAGAGACCUGUCUGACGUAGGGAAUAGGCACGAUCAUGAGUUCAUGACUUCACAUGGAAGACAGAAGAAGGGAAAGACUGGAUUCAUAAUUCAUAACAUAGCAUGGAGACCCUGAUGCAAGCUCCAUUCUCUUGCUUCCA